ACUGUUUACCAAAAACAUAGCCCUCGGCUAAUAUGAAAAUAGAUGUAUAGAGGGUGAUGCCUGCCCAAUGGUUGUAUCUAAAAGCGGUUGAUAAAAGUCGACCUUGUAAGGACAAUUGAAUGGCCGCGGUAACACUGACCGUGAUAAUGUAGCGUAAUCAAUAGCCAAUUAAUUGUUGGCCAGUAUGAAUGGCGCCACGAAGGCCCCACUGUCUUAAGGAAAUUCCCAGUGAAAUUGAAUUCGUAGUGAAGAUGCUACGUCCAAUUUGUUAGACGAAAAGACCCCGUUGAGCUUUACUGGAGCACUUAUAUGGCCCCGGCCUUCCCAUGCCUGGGAACCGGCCGAAUUUAAAUGGGCGGCUUAGAUUAUGUGGCAGCCCCCCGCUGGGGCAAAUGAAACACCACUCCCCCAUGUCAAAGGGGCUAACCCCCCCCUUGGGGGGGAC
rnacentral:rRNA from 1 species